CAAUACCUUUUUAAAACAAUUCUUUUUGGACACUGAGAUUGUUCAUUUUUAACACCAGUAGGUGGCACUAGAAAUGUGAAGGUUUUCAAGGCUGAACAGGAGAAGAUAAUCAAAAAAAGAAUCAAAACAGAAUUUUCAGUAAAAUAAAUGAGAAAUAUAAUUGUAUAUUAAAGAUGUAUUUUUUCUUCUGGAAUGAAGUUCUUUUUUAAAAUGCAUAUGGCUUUCCAUUUUGACUAUAUGAAACUUGUUAUCUUCCAAAGUUCAUAUAUAUAUGUGUGUGUGUGUGUAUGCACUGUACAGAUAAUCUUUAGUUUGAUUACACUGUUCAUUUUGUAAAUAUGUUUCUGUAUAAAAUGAAGCUUUUUGAGAUAAUUUUAUGUAUAUAUUGUACUUAUUAAAUAGGUAAUGCCUGUUUACCAAAUUGUAUUUUACUAGCAUUUUUCUUUCUUUUUAGGGCCACACCUGCACCAUUUGGAAGUUCCCAGGCUAGGGGUCGAAUCAGAGCUACAGCUGCCAUGCUAUGCUGCAACCACAGCAACGCCAGAUCCAAGCUGUGUCUGUGACCUACACCACAGCUUGUAGCAACACUGGAUCCUUAACCCACGGAUCAGGACCAGGGGUCGAACCUGCAUCCUCGUGGAUACUAGUCUGAUUCUUAACCCACUGAGCCAGAAUGGGAACUCCUACUGGCAUUUUUGAUUAUUUAUUUAAACACACCACUUGUUUACAGAAUGAUUCUCUAGACUUGGCAAGGCUGAUUCAAAUUGCUUGAAUUUUUUAACUUUUGUUUUCCAUGCAUGUUUAUCUUCAUUCUACCAAUUAUCAUGAAAAGUCAGUGAACAGUAGUAAACGGAGUAAAUUGAAUACCACACUGUAUUUUAAAUUUUUGUUUAAAUUAUUGAUAACAAAAUUUGGCCUUUUUAAGAGGCCUUUUACACAUGCCUAUGUGAAAAUUUCUCGCUGAAUUUAAGCCAGUAAUCAGAUUUUCCACAAAAGCAUGCAACUUAAUUAUCUAGCUUUGAUAAUAAAGAUCUAAUAAGUUCAAUACAAAGAUUAAAAUCAUUAAUUUCACGAAGGUAACAUGUAUGAUAGAUAUUUCACAUCAUAAUGUGUUUUCCAUUUCUCUUAACAGUUUAGUUACACAUAUGCAGAUUGUGCCACAUUUCUUAAAGAAUUCACUCUUGGAAAGAAUCCUCUGAAAUCAGGAUCCUUGGAAUAAGGGUAGAAUUAAUACAUAGAGGAAGCUUCCUGACAUCCUUACUAAUCUGCUUUUGGCAGCUUGUACAUUUGUUUACAAGGCAAAGGAAUACAUAAAAAAAAGGUGCGUUAGUGAAAGAGAUACUGCUUUAUGGUCCUUAACUGUCAGUGUGACCCACAGCCAUGAAAGACACUCCAGCAAACUUGAAUCCAAGUCUUUUUCUUAAUAAAGUCUGCCUCAAUCAGUCAGUGAGGGCGGGACGAGUACAUACUCCUCCAGGACCAGCAACUUGCAAGGAUGCCUCUGGGUAACCAGCACUAAUGCUUUAAUAAUUCUUUCUGAGAACCGUGUGACCAGACUUGAUAUUCCUGCCCCUGUAGAGAUGUGCCAUUAAUUCCUAAGUUACAUUUAAGAGACUUGAUUUUUAAAAGAAGCAUCCACUUAAGUAGUAUUUCUGUGGAAGGGAAUUUUCAGCCCUUUUAUUUUUAAUUGUCCAAAGAUGGUGCUUCUUGCCAGACAAUCUGCUCCUAAUUGUACUCCAAGAAGAGGAUGAGAAUUAUAUAUCUGAGAAAGAGAAGAAUCUCUUCCAUUUAAUCUAGUGCGAGAAGGGUUCUGUUGAAAGUUUAGGAUUCACUGGAAUAAACUUUUGGUUGAUAAUCAACUUCUGGUUACAUAAACUUGGGAACUAUGUUAAGUACUAGAAUGGCUUUCCAUUUCACUGUGUAGUUUUGAUAACUAUUAAAAGGCCCAGGGGCAAGAAACUGGGUGUUUGUACUUUCAGCAUCCUUAUGCUUUGCUUGUCCCAAGAAACAGCAGUUAAACCUGCCACAGUAUCUUUUGUUUCUUAGGUUCUUCUUUAUCAGACACCCCCAAAUGCCCACUGCCCCCACUGCCUUGAUCUAGGUUUGCCCACCUGCAUGAGAGGAACACUUUGAGCUCUGUUCCCAACCAGAGCCCCAUAGAUUCCCAUCUCCCCCCAGAAAACCAGGUCUUCAGGAGUCCAGGCUAAAAGAGUCUGUUGCUUUGGGGUCUGAACUGCUUCCUGGAUUUUGUGUUUCAGUUUUGUGUUUGGGGCAAUCCUGGAGGGAUUGGAGGGAGACCCUCCUGGGACUAGCAGGCCAAGAAGAGUCUGUUUCUGGCUUCCUAGUCGGAGUCUCUCAGAAAUCUUAUUUUGAAACAGUGACUCCUUAAGUCUAGUCAAAAUGUAUGGGUUGAAAAGGCUUUAUGUGCUUGCCUAUAAUUUAUUACCUUUUUUCUUUACCUCUAUGUGUUUAAUUCCUUCUAAACUCCAAGGCACCAACUUUCAAAAAAAGUUCAAGCAGUGGCUUGGAAGCAUAGCUUCAUGGCAGAAUGAUGUUGCACAGGCUCAGGCCCCAGGGCCCUUCUGAGAAAACGGAUGAUCCAGUUUCACAGUCAAGGUGUUCUGAGGUUUAAGCAGCCAAUCCUCAUCACUUGUUUGCAAAGCUCAUACUCUGAAGCACAAAUGUUGCUGGUGGUUUUUAAAGGUUGCAUUUUGCCUACAGGCAAGGUGUAGUUCCAUUUUAGCCCCACUUUGGGAUAAAGCAGAAGAGAAUCUUUCCUUUUGCCUCUUCCCCACCCCCCGCCACCACACACACACACAGCAUAUACCCACCCCAAACAACCGCCAGAGCUGGUUUGGCUGUCUCUGCGUUUCCAACCUUUAUCGAUUCCUUCAACAUCCCGCUUGGAUGGGCUUUUAUUUACCAAGUCAAUCAAGUGAGGAAAAGAAGAAAGGGAAAAGAACCUUCAACAAGAUUCCCUGUCACAUCCAAUCCCUUGUCAACUUCCUAUUUUGAUGGUGGCAGUGGUCCAUCCCCGAUGGGCUGGCCUGUGCCAUGGACGCUCCUCUGCCACAGGAGGCAGGACUGAUGGGAGGUGGCUGUUUAUAGAGGACCUUCCUUGGUGACUCCUGAUGUCACUUUGUACAUUUUUGUAAUUAUAAGUUUAACUAGAGAUGUGCCAGCCUAACAUGUGUAUCUAUUUUGUUUAAAAGGCGGGGAUUUUGGAGAACUAAACACUAAAGUCCUAGUGGAAGUUACUUUGUGCGAGUCGGGGGAAGGAUGGGGUUGGAGAGCAGGGAGUUGUGUGGAGUUUAAAGAUCUCAGUUUUUAAAAGAGUAUAUUAUGUACUAUGUUAUUUGUUUUUGUCUUUUUAGGACUGCUCCUGUGGUACAUGGGGGAUGCCAGGCUAGGGGUUGAAUUGGAGCUGCAGCCACCAGCCUAAACCACAGCAACGGCCACACCAGAGCCCAAGCCACAUCUGCAAUCUACACCACAGCUCAUGGCACUGCUGAUCCUUAACCCACUGAGCAAGGCCAGGGAUUGAACCUGCAUCCUCCUGGAUACUAGUUAGGUUCAUAACCCACUGAGCCACACUGGGAACUCCUGUACUAUGUAAAUUAAAGAUGACUUCUAUUAAAGUUUCGAAACAAAAAACAAAAUAAGCCAUUCAAUCCUAGGAAAGUUACUCAGGGUAUAUUGAAAUGUUUUUCUAGAUUAACCCUCUGCCCUAGAUGCUCAUUAACAUGAAUAUGCGGCAUCGAGUGUUGCAGGCUGUGGAAAUGAGAGGCAGAGACCUUAUCAGGUUUGAGGGGUGGGCGCUUAGUGGGGUAAGGGCCAAGUUCAAAUAAAGGCAAAGUCUGCAGUCAUGGCCAGAGGGCCAUGGUUCUCACUUUCUCAUACAGCUGGCCACAUGGUCCAACCACAGUGACGUUAAAAGACCCUCUGAUUGGUUCUGGACACAUUGUCAGCCUAAGAAAAGUGCCUGCAUAUACGGAUAUGAUUUGUCCUUUGAGGUGCUCCUUCGUGUUUUAAGAAGUUACCCCAGGCUGUAUUAGCUCAGCAGCAUUUAGGACCUAUUCUGCCUGGUCAGAAAUAAAUACAAGGUACUGUGUUGCUUUUAUAUUUUAAGAAUGCUUGUUUUCCCUUUGAAAUGAUAAGGAGCACAGUUAAAUUUAAAGGACAAACAUAUCACAGCAGGGACAGGGAACAAAUGCUAAUUAGUGCUUUGAGAAUGCCCGCUGUGGCUCAGUGGUAAUGAACCUGACUGGUAUCCAUGAGAAUGCAGGUUUGAUCCCUGGGCUCAGUGGGUUAAGGAUUUGGUGUUGCCAUAAGCUGUGGUGUAGGUGGAAGAUUGGGUCUGGUGUUGCUGUGACUGUGGUGUGGAUGGCAGCCACAGCUCCAAUUGGACCCCUAGCCUGGGAAUAUCCAUAUGCUGCAGGUGCGGCUCUAAAAAGAAAAAAAAAUGUUGUUUUCAUCUAGAGAAAGUAUACUCUGCUGGGGAUAGAGUAAUGAGAAUGGUCAAAAUCAAUAAUUUUAAAGAAUCAUACUCCAGAAAAACUUAUGUCAUUUGAGAUUGUUGAAAGUUUUUUUUUUCAACUUUCCUUUUUAAUAAUUAUGUGAAAAUCUCAAAUUGAUUACACUCAUCUGAUUAAUUCUAUAGAUCUCUACUUAAGUCCUUCUAUCUUCUCUGAUCUUUACAACAGACAUUUGAUUCAUGCUAAUUAGUUGUAUUAGAAUAAGAAAUAGUGGGGUUCCCCUUGUGGCUCAGCAGUAAUGAACCCAACUAGUAUCCAUGAGUACACAGGUUCAAUCCCUGAGUUUGCUUAGUGGGUUACGGAUUAUGCAUUGCUGUGAGCUAUGGUAUAUAUCACAGCCAUGGUUUGGAUCCUCUUUUGAUGUGGCUGUGAUGUAGGCUGCUAGCCUGGGAACUUCCAUGCUUCAGGUGUAGCUCUAAAAAAAGCAGAAAAAAAAAAAAAGGGAAGAAAUGUCAAUAAGUCAGCAACUGGCAACUAACUGUAGUUGGCCUUGAAAUCUUGGGUCUAUCUGGGAGAUAUCUUUUACAAUAUGUGAUGGAAUUUUACAUGUUUUAACCCUUUCUUCUCUAAUAAAUGUUGACACUCAAAGAUCUUUUACCUUGGUUGUUGGCAGAUAAAUCAACCAAUGCAGUUAAUG
ensembl:lncRNA